rnacentral:rRNA from 1 species
AGUGAACGCUGGCGGUAGGCCUAACACAUGCAAGUCGAACGGCAGCACAGUAAGAGCUUGCUCUUACGGGUGGCGAGUGGCGGACGGGUGAGGAAUACAUCGGAAUCUACUUUUUCGUGGGGGAUAACGUAGGGAAACUUACGCUAAUACCGCAUACGACCUACGGGUGAAAGCAGGGGAUCUUCGGACCUUGCGCGAUUGAAUGAGCCGAUGUCGGAUUAGCUAGUUGGCGGGGUAAAGGCCCACCAAGGCGACGAUCCGUAGCUGGUCUGAGAGGAUGAUCAGCCAAACUGGAACUGGGAAACGGUCCAGACUCCUACGGGAGGCAGCAGUGGGGAAUAUUGGACAAUGGGCGCAAGCCUGAUCCAGCCAUACCGCGUGGGUGAAGAAGGCCUUCGGGUUGUAAAGCCCUUUUGUUGGGAAAGAAAAGCAGCAGGUUAAUACCCCGCUGUUCUGACGGUACCCAAAGAAUAAGCACCGGCUAACUUCGUG